GUCAGUAUGGCCGAGUGGUUAAGGCGCUAGACUGUAUGAUGCUCCUUCAUAUCCUUGAUGUCAUUCGACACUAAAUAGCUAACUUUUCAUAAGUGAACCCUUUGUUCAAAACAUCUAGUUCUUUCGAGAUCGUAGGUUCGAACCCUACUGCUGACG
rfam:TPA: Aspergillus nidulans FGSC A4 chromosome VI